UACAGAGGUGGCAAGCGUUGUUCGGAAUUACUGGGCGUAAAGGGCGCGUAGGCGGUCUUGCAAGUCCCGUGUGAAAUCCCUCGGCUCAACCGAGGAACUGCGUCCGAUACUGGCAGGCUGGAAUCCGGGAGAGGGAUGUGGAAUUCCAGGUGUAGCGGUGAAAUGCGUAGAUAUCUGGAGGAACACCGGUGGCGAAGGCGGCAUCCUGGACCGGUAUUGACGCUGAGGCGCGAAAGCUAGGGGAGCGAACGGG
rnacentral:rRNA from 1 species